CCCCUCUCGGGAUCGCACCUGGAGAGUUUCCAGUGCUCUACCAGUCUCAACUAUGGGAGGGAGAGUCAAGUAGAGGCCGACCCAUUCCAUUCCUAGGUUGGCCAGUGGCUAGCGAGUGGAAGGCCAUCUGCUACAAGU